GUAGUGAUCGGCCUUUUGGUUAAGAUCAAGUAUAGUAUUUGUUUUUAUCAGUUUAAUAUCUAAUAUAUGAACCAUCAACCUCACUUAAUGUUAAUUUUUAAUUUUUAUAUCCAUUAUCCUAAAUUGGUGAUGUGAUUCUUCAUGCAUUGUCUUGAGCCUACAUUACUACUGCAUGCCACAACUUACGCACC